rnacentral:rRNA from 1 species
GAAACACGGACCAAGGAGUUCAACUGGAUUGCGAGUCGUAGAGUUUAACACAAAACUCAUUUAUUACAAAUACGGCGAAGCGAAAGCAAAAUGGUGUGAUAUGUAUUGUAACAGAUACAUUGCAACACAGGCUGAUUACGAAUAUGCAUAGUGACUUUUGUUAGUGUGUAUAUGUAAAAUUGUCUCAUGUGUAAAUUUAUUUACAUAUGUCUUUUUACAAUUAAUUAAGCUAAAGAGCACUUUAGUUGAGACCCGAAAGAUGGUGAACUAUGCUCGGACAUGGUGAAGCCAGGUGAAAACUUGGUGGAAGCUUGCGUUGUGCGGAACUGACGUGCAAAUCGUUGCCGCCUGACCUGAGUAUAGGGGCGAAAGACUCAUCGAACCAUCUAGUAGCUGGUUCCCUCCGAAGUUUCCCUUAGGAUAGCUCGAAUUUAUCCACAAAAUUUUAUAAUUAAAGAGUAACACAAGGGUAAAGCAAUGAGACGCGGUAUCUGUGGGUCUUAUUUAAAUGACCUCGGCCUUCUCUCAAACUUUAAAUCUGUGCGAUUACGCAUGCUUACUUAAAAUUUAACAUUUCUGAUGUUAAAGUGAAGUUGCGUUUUCUAAAUGCUUUCGGGCAUUUAUAAAUCAUAUUGUAUCAAAAAUUCGUAGUGGGCCAUUUCUGGUAAGCAGAACUGGCGAUGAGGGAUUCAACCUGACGUUUUCAAGAUAAGCCGGGCUUAAUCAUAUCUGCUCCAACCUUCCGAUAAACGCGA